rnacentral:lncRNA from 1 species
CGGCCAGGCUGGUCUUGAACUCCUGGCCUCCAGAUCCACCUGCCUCGGCCUCCCAAAGUGCUGAGAUUACACCUGUAAUCUCACACCUGUAAUCGGCAGGUGUGAGCCACUGCGCCGGGCUCCUCAAUUGUUUAUACCAAUAUACACUCCCACCAGUAAUGGAAGGCAGUUUAGUUGCUCUACAUCCUUACCAACAUUUAGGGUUGCCAGCCUUUUAGCUGGCACUUUAUCAUGGAGAUAAAGUGGUAAUCACUACUCUUUUUGUUUUUCAUUUUUAUUUAUUUUAAUCAGACACUUAUAUUUAUUCAUCAUGUUGUUUGUUUCAGAAAUUCAUUCUUUUUUUAUUGCUGACUGGUAUUCUACUGUAUUGAUGCACUACGAUGUAUCUGAUUGACAGUUAUGGGUGUUCAUUGUUUCCAAAUUUUGACUAUUAUGAAUAAAGAAGCCCUAAACAUUCACCUAUAGGUCUCUGUGUGGAUAUACUUUCAUUUGCCUAGCAGUGAGAUUGCUGGUUGUAUGGUUUUAUGAAUUGUGUCUCCUUCAAAUUCCUAGAUUGAAGCCUAACCCCUAGUACCCCAAAAUGUGGCUAUAUUUGGAAUAAGAUGCAUGGGUAAUUAGAUUAGAGGAUAAAGACUGCAAGGCUGAUUUUUAAUAAACACUUUAAAGUAUUUACAAAAAAAGUGACCAUCACAAAAGAUACAAGGAAAGGUUGCAAACCACUGGGUUUUGCUUUUACAUUUUUUUUUCUGCAAAUUUUCUACAACAGCCAUAGUUUUCUUUUCUUUUCUUUUUUUUUUUGAGACGGAGUCUGGCUCUGUCACCCAGGCUGGAGUGCAGUGGCGCCAUCUCAGCUCA